GAUGAACGCUGGCGGCGUGCCUAAUACAUGCAAGUCGAGCGAACGGACGAGAAGCUUGCUUCUCUGAUGUUAGCGGCGGACGGGUGAGUAACACGUGGAUAACCUACCUAUAAGACUGGGAUAACUUCGGGAAACCGGAGCUAAUACCGGAUAAUAUUUUGAACCGCAUGGUUCAAAAGUGAAAGACGGUCUUGCUGUCACUUAUAGAUGGAUCCGCGCUGCAUUAGCUAGUUGGUAAGGUAACGGCUUACCAAGGCAACGAUGCAUAGCCGACCUGAGAGGGUGUCGGCACACACGGAAACUGAGCACCGGUACGAACCCCCAGGGGGGGCAGCAGGGGGGAAUUUUACACAGGGGGCGAACCCUUAACGGAGCAACGCCGGGUGGGGAAAGAAGGGUUUCGGAUCGUAAAACUUUUUUUUUAGGAAAAAACAUAUGUGAAAGUAACUGUGCCCCUUUGGACGGAACCUAAUAAAAAAGCCGCGGAAAACUAGGU
rnacentral:rRNA from 1 species